GUUAUAAAGCAGGUAUGUUUAUUUGGCUGGCCGGGUGCAAGGGGGAUCACUCCACCAAACUUGCACACCAGCGAGCAAAAAGCGCUACGGAUUUGUAAGCCAAAGCCAUACAUAUUCAGCAGAAUUCUUGGAAGUCAUCUACAUAUUCAUUAUCCUUCCGGAAAUUCAUUUACAUACUGCCCCUCCCCCGGCGCACGCGCUGUCCUUAAGAGGGGUCUCCCUCUGGUGGUCGUGGGGAUGAAGUCAGAAGUGUUCCUCGCGAAGGCUUCACGUCUUCCUCGGUCUGACCUUCUUACGGUGCAUUCAAACCAGUCAAAGCCAUUCCUUUUGCAUCGUUUCCUUUCUUUGUGUUUGCACAGCUGACCAUGAAAUGUUGAGAUGUCGUUCUCCUUCCCUGGUUUCUAAAGCUAGCUUAUUUAACCCCUAUGUGUUCAAACCCCAGACCCACCUGAGCUCCUGAUCUCACCCCCAUCCACCCAACCUGUGAUGCCAUCACAGAAGGCCACCAGGUUGGCCGAGCGCUAUUUCCUCUUGGUGAACCCACGCUGACCAUUCCUCAUAUCCUUCUUCUCUUCCAAUUGCUUGGAGAUGGCAUCCAGAAUCAGCUGUUCCAUCACCUUCCCAGGGACAGAGGUGAGACUGACUGGCCUGUAGUUUCCCAGACCCUCCUCCUUGCCCUUUCUGAACACCAGAGGGACACUGGCUAUCCUCCAGUCUUCAGGCACCUCUCCUGUUUUCCAGGGCCUAUCGAAGACGACAGAGAGCAGUUCAGCAGUCACCUCUGCCAGCUCCCUCAGCACACGUGGAUGCAUCCCAUCGGGACCCAUGGAUUUGUGCUGAUCCCACACUGAUCCCACCCAGACUCUUCUGGACCAUCCCCUCCUCAACCAGAGGGGAAGUUCUGCUACGUUAUAGAUGAGUAUACGCAUGGAUACUUUGCUGUGAGGUCACUUGUGCAAGCAGAACUCACCACCUUGUACCAAACAUGUGGCUGAGAUGCUGUUUGAGAGGUUAUUUCUGUCUCUGGAAGUGACAGACCUGCAGCAGGAACAAGGCUGGCAAAGGGCCUUGGAAGACAUUCUUUCUGUAGUAGCCAAUACGACAGCCUUUAAUUCCGGGCUGAGCUCUGUACCUUUAGGAAUGCAGCUCAUGGUCAUCCCCGUGUGUCUGGUAAGCCAGCAGAAGGCACCCGCUUGGCAGGUGGAUUGAGAGAUCCCUUCUGCCUGGGAAGCUGAUUGCCUGCAUACAGGAAGAGGCCUUGGGUAUGGGUUUUCACAUCCCCCGAACAUUAGCACAUGAUGGGUGCAUAACACGGACGUGUCUACCUGCAAGGUCAGCAUCAGGCAUGUGACUUGAAAGGUCACGGUGAGAUUUCAUCUGUGUGGCGUGCUGGAAGGCCAAAAGGAGCUGAUGGAUCUACCCUGGAGGGUAGAUGGUGAGAGGAUGGCACUUUCCGUCUACCUGAACUGGUGGAAGACAUUUGAUACUGCCCUGUAUGAGACCCUUCCCUCUGAAGAGAGAGGGGUGAGGCGUGAAUUGAUGGAUGGACCACUCACUGUAUGUCGAAUUGGAUGGAUGGUCACAGCCAGAGUUGUGGUCAACCGCUCAGUGGCUGUGUGGAUACAAUGGUAUUUUUCAGGAGUCUGCAAGUGCUGCUGGGCUUGGGGCUCGGGUUCUGUUCAGCAUAUGGUGUGACAGAGCAGCCCGACCCCAGCCCGGGGGUGGGCACGCACUGCUGGGGAGCCCGCGUGCUGACAGAGGCCGGCACCCUCCAAGCAGGCCUUGUUCCCUACAGGCAGCAGCAUCAGCUGGAGCUGGAGGCAGCCCACGUGCCUGGGGCUGUGCUGCCGGAGCUGGUGGAGGCAGAGCUGGUAAGGGGCAGAGCCCAGCGCACCCUCACCCUGUCCGACAAGGUUCUCCUCGGGGACAGGGCUCCCUGCAGUGCUGGGGCUGCCACUGUCCUGCACGAGCUCCGGCUGUGCAGCAGGGCCUGACCAGCGCCCCUGCCCCAUCUUCACCUACAGGAGAAGAAGGAGCAGGCGAGGAGACGAGGGCUCGCCUUCUGGAUGAAGUGAGUAUCCCCUCAUUGCCCUGUGCCCAGCCAGCAGCAGCCGGGCUCCAGGCAGUGGGCUGAUGGCCUGGACCCCGCUGCAGCCGGCGGGGCUCCCGGGCGGCCCCUUUGGUGCUGUGUGGGGCUGUGCUGCCGUGGGGUCGGAACGCCUCAUUCCCAGCCCGGCCGUCUUUUGCCCCCCAGGACAAUCUGCCUCAUCUUCGUCAGCCUCCUGCUGCUGCUCGUUGCCGUGCUGGGCUCUGCAGUGCUGUACGCCCAGCACUAUGACCAGGAGCUGUUGUAUCGGCUCCUGCUGCGAGUGCUGCCCCAGGCAAUGUACGCUUCCCCGGCGUACUUUGCGAGCAGGAGCCUGCGUGUCGUCUGUGAUGGGCUGCUGCCCAUCUGACCGCCCCUCUCAGUCCCCCCUCCCAGCUCGGGGCUGCGCAGUGGUGGGGUGCAGGGAGAGAGCUCUGUCCCCACGGAAGGGGCCUCUCCUGUGCUCCUGCCCCCAGGGGCGCACAGGCACAGCUGUGGGGCAGUGCCGGCAGGCGGCUGAGUGCCACCACUUUGGACUUACAAAUAAUUGGUACUGUCGUCGUCAACUGAAC
ensembl:lncRNA